rnacentral:rRNA from 1 species
AUUGAACGCUGGCGGCAUGCCUUACACAUGCAAGUCGAACGGUAACAGGUUAAGCUGACGAGUGGCGGACGGGUGAGUAAUACAUCGGAACGUGCCCAGACGUGGGGGAUAGCUCGGCGAAAGCCGGAUUAAUACCGCAUAAGCUCUGAGGAGGAAAGCGGGGGACCGUAAGGCCUCGCGCGUUUGGAGCGGCCGAUGGCAGAUUAGGUAGUUGGUGGGGUAAAGGCUUACCAAGCCUACGAUCUGUAGCUGGUCUGAGAGGACGACCAGCCACACUGGGACUGAGACACGGCCCAGACUCCUACGGGAGGCAGCAGUGGGGAAUUUUGGACAAUGGGCGAAAGCCUGAUCCAGCAAUGCCGCGUGCAGGAUGAAGGCCUUCGGGUUGUAAACUGCUUUUGUACGGAACGAAAAGGCGCCUACUAAUACUGGGUGUUGAUGACGGUACCGUAAGAAUAAGCACCGGCUAACUACGUGCCAGCCGCCGCCGUAAAAC